GACUCCAGCCUAAAUGCCCUAAAGGCAUCGGAUCCUCUGUGAUCCUGGAAGCUAAGCAGGGCCAGCCGUGGCUAGUACUUGGAGGGGAAGUCACUAAUGAAUACCAGCUGAUGCAGACU
rnacentral:rRNA from 11 species